UUCAAAUCUACCGCACGACCGAACCACCCCUAACGGAACUAAUUUUGGCUCACUAUAAGUUCUCCUAUUUUGAUCCGAUAAACUUAAUUUUCACACAUGUAAUGAUUACCAGUUUUUGAAUUCGUAGACAUAUGGUGGUAUAAUUAAACAGAAAUUUUAAAUGUAAGAUUAUUGUAGUGUUACUUUUAAAAAGUAUAGUAAUUCAGAAAUUCAUCUAAUCUUCGCUAUAAAUCCAUCUUCUCUUCUCUCAAAUACGAUGAAACUGUAUCUGUAAGUCGACACACUAAUAAUUUAACUAGUGUCUGCACGCUUAGAUCAGUUUACCCAUAAGUAGGUAAUUUAUUUACGCAAAUUUGAGUUUUGUAUGCAUUACGCAUAUUAUAGGUAAAAUAUACCAACAAAAAUCGGUAAACUUUACUCAUAUUACAAGUAAAGUAACGUUACCCAAAUAUGGGUAAUGCAUUUUACCCAUAUUUGGAUGAAAAAAUAAAACUUCAACAUUCCUCGGUGAUCAAAAUGGCGAGCAGAUGAAAACAAGAUUAAGUCAUAGUUGGAAAUAAAAAAAAUGUUUUAAAGCAAAAACAGUUGAUCUAAAAGGUCGAUCCAGAAAAUUUCAACUAAAGCUGCGUAAUGCAUAAAUAAAAAACGAGGCGAACCGCCUGCAGGCCCGGAUAACUACAAAGGGCAUGGAAUGGAAGCAAAUGUUACGCUAAAGGUAUUCGAGUUCCGACUGAAACUCAUUCUGCCAAGGAAAGUUCCGGAUGUGACGGAUCAAGGGUCGGAGCUCUAUAUAACAUUAGCAUUAUCAAGGUAACUCGUCGAAUGAGCGGAAAUCUGUUCCGACGGCUUCAUCACUAUCUGCUCCGCGGAAACGCAGUGAGGAUACUUGGAUCUUCAAUGAUAUGCCUACCUAUCCUUGUUCCGAAUCGGGGAGUUAUCAACAAGCAGGACUCCAGCUAGGAAGAAUAGGAUAAUCUUGGAAUGAAAGGGUAUUUUGUCUAAUGAAACAUUAGUGAAGUUAAAUUGUACAUUUUUUACACUAAUUGUCUGUAUGAUUAAUAAAUUAUUGUUUCAUUGAGUUUUAUUAUGAUUGUAUUUAUUUUAAUGAGUAUUUUUGAAUUUUCUUUUCUCUAUAGCCGACCAAAAGCAGCGUAAAAUUACUCAUUUUUGAGUAAUUUCAAUUACUCAUAAUUCCACAAAAACCCUUUACUCAAAUAUGGGUAAAGCCCCAUUACUCAUAAAAUAAGGUUGUGCACUUUUUGGCGAUUAUGGGUAAACUUUACUCAUAUUUGGGUAAACUGACGUGUGAGGAAAAUUUGGGCAUCAAUAGGAAGCAAUCAGUGAAGUACUAGAUUGAAAGUAUGGAAAGUAUUUUUGUAUGGUAAGAUGAUCAGUUCUCCAUUUCUGCAAUGAAAUGGUGCAAACA